rnacentral:rRNA from 1 species
UACAGCAGCAGCCACGGUAAUACGUAGGGUGCAAGCGUUAAUCGGAAUUACUGGGCGUAAAGCGUGCGCAGGCGGUUAUAUAAGACAGAUGUGAAAUCCCCGGGCUCAACCUGGGAACUGCAUUUGUGACUGUAUAGCUAGAGUACGGCAGAGGGGGAUGGAAUUCCGCGUGUAGCAGUGAAAUGCGUAGAUAUGCGGAGGAACACCGAUGGCGAAGGCAAUCCCCUGGGCCUGUACUGACGCUCAUGCACGAAAGCGUGGGGAGCAAACAGGAUUAGAGACCCCAGUAGUCCCUGUCUCUUAUAU